CCCAACUCUCUCUCUCUCUCAAGUUUGAUUUCUCAGAACAACAAACUUGUUCGCUGGGUGUAGAUGAUCGAGGCCAAGAACCAGGCCUUGUUCGCUGGGCACCUCGUUGAGCUCGAGCUCGCCGACGGUUACUUUGAAUGUGCUGGACUAGUCUCUUUGGUGCAUGCAGCUUAUGCAUGCCGUUGAAAGGUCCGGACUAGUUUCUCUCUCACUGACAAAUACCCAGGAGUUGAAGAGGAAUGAUGGGCUUUAUAUAUGGAUAUUAGUGAGCAUAUUUCUCUGUAAUAUUACAAAGAGAUUUUCAUGUCGCUAAAAUCAUACUUUGAGCGGCAACUAGCAAAUAUACCUUCAGUAGAUCCAACUUACACGAAUCCAAAAAAUGGCAGAUGCCAUACAUACCUAAUCUUUAGGUAAAAUUAGUAAAAGUGCCCGUGCGAUAUUGCGGGUGUCUCAAACGUUUUGAAAAUAUAUACAUAAGUUCAUCGUUGUCAAGAGAUUGACCGUGUUCAA